CUGUCAGUGAGUCUCGGAGGAUGUGAGGGGAAAUUUAAAUAGAGCUAGCUAGAUCUCAGAGGCAUGGAUAGACUAUUGACUGCUGGUUUCUCAGUUGGGAUGUACUGUGCUUUGUUGGAAUUUUCUGCCUACUGUCGAGGGGCCUACCUCCAUCUUAAUCGAUGCAUCUGGACAAUGAGGUGGGGUGGACAGUUGUCUCAUUGGCCCUCAGUACAUGGAGAAGAAUGCGGUGACGACUACCAGCCCAGAGUCAUUCACGAAGGCCCGGCCCUUCUAGGAGACAAAGCAAUAUCCCAGCAGAGUAUGAAGUCAUCACCACCGUUUGUAUGCAACAUUACAAAAGGUUCAGUAAGGUUCACCUACGUCCCGACACGAGACAGGGACCAGUCUGCUCAGACCCUGACCCAAGAAUGCCUGGUUCAUCAGUCAGUCUUAAUGGAGUACCUGAGCCCUAGGACGAUGCCUCAGGACUACCUGGCAUGAUGACUCC